rnacentral:rRNA from 1 species
ACGCUGGCGGCGUGCCUAACACAUGCAAGUCGAACGGAAGUUAGAGCUUCGGUUUUAACUUUAGUGGCGAACGGGUGAGUAACGCGUGAGGAACCUGCCUUUCAGUGGGGGACAACAGUUGGAAACGACUGCUAAUACCGCAUGAUACUUUUGGGAGACAUCUCCUGGAAGUCAAAGCUUUAUGUGCUGAAAGCGGGGGAUCGCAAGACCUCGCGCGACUGGAGCGGCCGAUGUCUGAUUAGCUGGUUGGUGGGGUAAAAGCUUACCAAGGCGACGAUCAGUAGCUGGUCUGAGAGGAUGAUCAGCCACAUUGGGACUGAGACACGGCCCAGACUCCUACGGGAGGCAGCAGUGGGGAAUUUUGGACAAUGGGGGAAACCCUGAUCCAGCCAUGCCGCGUGCGGGAUGAAGGCCUUCGGGUUGUAAACCGCUUUUGUCAGAGACGAAAAGGGACCCGUGAACAACGGGUUCCGCUGACGGUAUCUGAAGAAUAAGCACCGGCUAACUACGUG